rnacentral:rRNA from 1 species
GUCUAUGGCCAUGCCACCCUGAACAAGCCCAAUGUCUGAUCUUGGAAGCUAAGCAGGAUCGGGCCUGGUUAGUACUUGGAUGGGAGACCACCUAGGAAGACCAGGUGCUGUAGGCA